rnacentral:lncRNA from 1 species
AAUUAAGUGUCCAGAUUUUUUACAGUAUCUGCAGAAUAAAGGCCCUCUGGCUUGAUCAAAAUUGACUCUUUGUCUGAAAGGAGAAGAAGGAUUAGGCACGGUGGCUUAUUAAAUCCAACUGAAAGCCUAUUAGUAUGGACAUUGAAAGACACAAAGUCUGGAUUAAAGUGAGAAGGAGACUGGACUGGUCUUUGCUUCUCAUCAUUGAGGACCAUAUAAUAGACACUGUCAAGGGUUGGAGGUGGCUGCAUCAUCAAAAGGUUACUCCUUACCCCCCAUGUAUGCUUCAUU